rnacentral:tRNA from 1 species
GUGAAAUUGGUAGACACGCUGCUCUCAGUGCUAGAGCAUCUCGGUUCGAGUCCGAGUAGCGGCA